AUGUGAAUAAGACUCACGGAUAUACAAGGUGAUUCUCAGACUUAAGUUGGGCGGACUCUUGAGCUCGGAUUUCACUCUUUCGAUUUAAGUUGGGUUUGGGGUGUUAUUGAAAAUCUACAACCGGUUAUUGUACUCUUGUGGGAGGAAACUUAAUCACUUGGAGGAGCAAGAAGCAAAGUGUUGCUACUCAAUCAAGUGCAGAGGCUGAAUAUAAGGUCAUGGCUCAAGGUGUUUGUGAGAUUUUACAGCUGCAAAAGAUAUUGGAAGAGCUAAAGUUAUUGAAUGAAAAUAGAUUAACUCUUUACUGUGACAACAAAACGACCAUCAACAUAG